UAGUUUUGUUACAUGUGUUUAAAUGUAAAUAAUAGCAUCUUUUUACAUAAACAGGCAUCCUUAUGUUAUUAAUUUUUUUAUAAAAACAAAUAAAAGUUCAAAAUAAAAAUUUUAAUUUACGAAAAGAGAAGAAGUAGGAAAAGUAUUUUUAAUUCAACAUUUACAGAGUGAAUCAGGAGAAGAAGUGUUAGUAAUUUAUUUUGAAACAGAUAGUAUCACGAGAAGAAGUAAUAAGAGUAAUAAAAUUCUUUUAUUCAACAUUACGAAUUAAAUUACGAGAAGAAGUGGUUGUAAUUAAUUUAAAACAUAUUGCAUCACGAGAAGAAUAGGAAAAAUAUUGCUAUACUUAAGUAUCAAGAUUAAAAUACUGAUGUACCGUUAAACUGAAGGUGGUAAUAAAGUUUACAAAAUUUGCUCUAGCUGAAUUUUUCAAUGAAAAAACAAUAUGUGUGCCAUGAAUGUAAUCUGUUUUUCAUGGUGUAUCAAUGAAAGUUUGGUGUAUUGGCCAAAUCACUUGCAAGCAUCUUGCCUUUAAACUGCCAUACGUAAAGUCACACUUUUAAAAGUAACUGAAAGCAGCUGAAAAUAAGAAUUUUUUGAUGAACUUUCUUACUUCGGUUGGAGGAGAUGAGAAACAACUUACAGCGGCAAUCUUAAUACAGCUAAUGGCCAAAGAAGUAUGUUUUUCAUACUCAGUGUAUGGAAUGAAACAAAAACGUCCUGCAAGGUCGUUAUAGAGUUGCGUUUAGUCGUUUUUCGUUGCAUUCGUUCAUUUCGAAAUCGCUACUGACAAAAGUAUUUAAGAAAAAAUUGGCAGCUUUCUGGCGACGGCCAUUAAUAGAGAUAACAAAAGAAAAAUAGAACCGUAACUGAGCAACGCUCAAUAUUGAGCAAUGACAUCUGUAGGGUAAAUAAGUAUCGCCAAUAUAAUGAAAGUCGAUGCCCACUAUCUCAUAGUGAGAGUAUAAUACAGUAGUUUAUAUAUAUAUGUGUA